GUGGCAGCAUCUCGGUCACUUACCACAAGGAAACAAUGAGUUUCAAACUACUUCUAUACAUCAAAAGAGUACAUGGAUAAAAUAUAGAGAUAUACAGACAAUUGAUGAACAUAAACUACUAGAAUAACUCAAUCUCAGUGUGACUACUGAUCCGCCGCCACGUGGCUUCCCGGACACACUGCUGCAGCGCCAACAGUGAAGAGGAGCUCUCCAUCACAACCAGACAGCAGAAGCACAGCACAGUGAAGCCCACCUGCCCACAUGAUGCACAAUAAAGGUAUUAAUUUACAACAGAUGGAUUUUAUGCCUUGUACAGGUAUGAACACAGUGAAGAUUUGACGAUGGUUCUCUCUUUUAGCUGAACGCUGGAGUUUUAAUUACUGACAUUUUCUUGGAAAAAAUUAUCCUUUGUGGUUUUAAAACGUGGGUUUUUUUUUUUUUUUUUUUUUUUGCUCAAGUCACAUGUUCUAACAAGACAGUUUUAAUAAGCCAGUUUGACUAGAUGUAAAGUACUUGGAUUAAAGUGAUAAU
rnacentral:antisense_RNA from 1 species